UUCCUUAACUUUCUUUAAACGAAA
rnacentral:miRNA from 1 species